rnacentral:rRNA from 1 species
AUGCAAAGAACUUUGAAAAGAGAGUUAAACAGGGCUUGAAACCGUUAAGAAUGAAGCGUAGGAGGCCAGUGAUCAUGGGGCCAGAUCACCAGGCGACCGCAAGGUCGCCGUAUCGUUCUGGUAACGGGGCAGCGCCGGCUGGAGGCGAGCGAUAAAGGGUUGGAUAGUCGAGCAAUUUACUUUGUCCUAUCCCCACCAUAGCUUGGGCUCUGGCCGAGGGAUCCGCAGUCAAAUGCGUGAGGGCGCUGCCAAAAUGGCCUUUUACAUCCCGUCUUGAAACACGGACCAAGGAGUCUAACAUACCCGCGAGUGUUUGGGUAGUAAAACCCAGACGCGCAAUGAAAGUAAAAGGCGCUUGGCGUCCAAAGUGGUAUCCGCUACCUUUUGUGUUACGGUGCACCAUUGCCCGACCAUGAGCCUCUUGGGGUGAACGGUUCGAGGAAGAGCGAGUAUGCUGGGACCCGAAAGAUGGUGAACUAUUCCUGAGUAGGGCGAAGCCAGAGGAAACCUUGGUGGAGGCUCGUAGCGAUGCUGACGUGCAAAUCGCUCGUCGAACUUGGGUAUAGGGGCGAAAGACUAAUCGAACCAUCUAGUAGCUGGUUCCCUCCGAAGUUUCCCUCAGGAUAGCGGGA